rnacentral:misc_RNA from 1 species
UCAACCAUCAAGCUAAGCUUGUCGUUCGGACCCCCUUUGUCGCCUGGCGACAGGUCCGAAAGAUAAUGAACGGUGUCAUGGCGACCCUAUAUGCAACGAGCUUAGUAAAUAGCACGCAUUUUGGUGGUCGUCUGGCCCAAUCGUCACCUAUUUAUUUUUUCUCCAGG